GCAAACUUGGUCAUUUAGAGGAAGUAAAAGUCGUAACAAGGUCUCCGUUGGUGAACCAGCGGAGGGAUCAUUACAGGACUCGCAAGACUCCCGUAACCACUGUGAACCUUACCACUUGUUGCCUCGGCGGGUGCUUCCCCUCGGGAAGCGCUCACGCCCGCCGACGGCCCACAACUCGUUGUCUGAUCUUUGCAUCUCCGAGCAAUACACAAACGAAUCAAAACUUUCAACAACGGAUCUCUUGGUUCUGGCAUCGAUGAAGAACGCAGC
rnacentral:misc_RNA from 1 species